GCUCUGGUGGCCGAGUGGUUAAGGCGUUGGACUUGAAAUCCAAUUGGGUCUCCCCUCUCUGCUUCGAACCCUGCUCGCAGCA
rnacentral:tRNA from 1 species